GGAGUCAGCUUUGAGUUGUGUGUCUGAACUGGAGACAGCAGCAUUGGAGUCUCCUGAGGAAGAGCAGAUGAACUCAGAAUUUAAUUCAGGCGUUGAACUAACUGGAAAGGGUAUGACCCUCGAUUUAGAAGAUGAAUUUUUGGAAAGUGAUUUCCUACGUAUGUUGGGGCUUGAGCAAAGUCCAUUUGGUUUGAGUUCUGAAAUUGAGCCAGAGUCUCCAAGAGAGCGGCUAUUACGACAAUUUGAGGAAGAAGCUGUAGCCGGUGGAUAUUCCUUGUUCAAUUUCGGUAUUGAAGAUGAGAAUCAUCCGGCAUCUGGUUAUAAUUUUAAUGUGAGUUCCGAGUUUGGAGGAGACAUGGC
rnacentral:misc_RNA from 1 species